rnacentral:rRNA from 1 species
GACGAACGCUGGCGGCGUGCUUAACACAUGCAAGUCGAACGGUAAGGCCCUUCGGGGUACACGAGUGGCGAACGGGUGAGUAACACGUGGGUGAUCUGCCCUGCACUUCGGGAUAAGCCUGGGAAACUGGGUCUAAUACCGGAUAGGACCACUGCCUGCAUGGGUGGUGGUGGAAAGCUUUUGCGGUGUGGGAUGGGCCCGUGGCCUAUCAGCUUGUUGGUGGGGUGAUGGCCUACCAAGGCGACGACGGGUAGCCGGCCUGAGAGGGUGACCGGCCACACUGGGACUGAGAUACGGCCCAGACUCCUACGGGAGGCAGCAGUGGGGAAUAUUGCACAAUGGGCGCAAGCCUGAUGCAGCAACGCCGCGUGAGGGAUGACGGCCUUCGGGUUGUAAACCUCUCUUAGUAGGGAAGAAGCGAAAGUGACGGUACCUGCAGAAAAAGCACCGGCUAACUACGUGCCAGCCGCCGCCGUAA